GAUAUGACCAGGUGGGAGACUUGAACCACAAUCAAAAUUUCAAUUCAAAUUUCGCGCCACCGCCGCCGUUGGUAGGUCGCAUGAUAGACUAACCAAUGGCGCAACAUUAGGCGAUGCCACUUUGUCCACCAUUGGUCUGAUUUAGAUCUCACUGCAAUGAACGUGUUUUUGUGGCCGGCGAGUGAAAAAAAUAAUAACAUUAGAUUUAUAAAUUAUUUGGACUAUUAAGCAGAUGAUACUGACGUUUAAAUACAUGCUUAAGAUGGGGUCAAACCGUAAGACAAAAAUAAACGUCAGAAGAAAACGAGCAAAGCCCAAACUGGGAAAAGGAAAAUUGUUCAGAUAAGUGACAGUGAUUUCGAAGAUGAAAAGGUUAUUUCCUAUGCUGGUACAUCGGAUGAAGAAAACCCUAGCCUAGAUUAUCGUUGGUAUUAUUCUAUAUUUGAAACUGAAGCAGUCAUGGUUAUGAGACUAAGUAUGUGGUUCCUGCAAAGGAUAUGUUCACGAACUUUGCGUUGGAUUAACUGAAACAGAUUUGGAAAAAUUUGUUUGUCAGAAAUAUUAAUUAUAUUUAAGACUAUUAUUUUGUUUAAAAUGAAAAUUGGUCUUGAACGUGCCUUUAAUAUUUUUCAACACACCAACUGGUAAAGGCUCACUUGAUUCUUCGAAACCGGAUAGCAACAUUGCAUUUUAUCCACAACAGUGCAAGAUAAUUUCAUACAAAUUUUAAUUUGAUGUCAUAGGCUGGCUGGUAGAUUUAGCUUAUUAAUGAUAAUUUUUCAUUGUAAAUAUUUUAUAUAUUUAAUAAAUUGUGAUAUAUUUGAUUUCGUUUCAUUUUUUUGGCAAGUAUUUUAUUGGUGUCAGUGCGUCGAAAAUUUUUUCGUUUCAUUCGGGGGCAAAUUUGUUUAACCUACGUGCCUUGAAGCCCUUGCAACGCUCAUGAUUCCAUAUUUUGAACCACUCUCUACGCUUGCGGUUCAAUAUUGGAAUGUUUGCUUUCUCGGGUAUCAAUAUUGGCACGUGCAGUUUUAAACAACAACUUUUCCCCCUUGUAAAACAAACAAGUACCAAUGUAAAGUUUCUGAUGUUUAGAAAAUGUUCAUGUUGUCAAUUUUAAAAGUUUAACAAGUGUUUUAAUGGGUAUAAAUACGUUGUUAGAGGAACUAAGUUGGUUUUCUAU